GAUGAAGAACGUAGCGAAAUGCGAUACGUAAUGUGAAUUGCAGAAUUCAGUGAAUCAUCGAAUCUUUGAACGCACAUUGCGCCUGCCAGCACUCUGGCAGGCAUGCCUGUUCGAGCGUCAUUUCAACCAUCAAGCCCUAGGCUUGCGUUGGAGCCCUGCGGCUGCCGCAGGCCCCUAAAAGCAGUGGCGGGCUCGCUAUCACACCGAGUGCAGUAGAUUACUCUUCGCUCAGGGCGUGUGGCGGGUUCCAGCCGUGAAACCCCCUACUUCUCAAGGUUGACCUCGGAUCAGGUAGGAAUACCCGCUGAACUUAAGCAUAUCAAUAACGGAGGA
rnacentral:misc_RNA from 1 species